UAAAUAUAGACGUUAAGAAUCGUGUGCGUGCGUGUCAACAUUGUUCACAGUUUCUUUCUCUUUCUGGAAGGAUUCUCUCGAUCGAUUCUUCGAAAACUGGAAAAAAUCCGAUUGCAAUCUUAGAUUAGUUGAUUCCGGCUAAAACCCGAUUUGAUUGUUUGGGCUUCUCUCACUCGUCACCGUUGAGAUGAUAGUAUCGUCUGGAGGAGGAAACCCACCGGCCUUUUUUCUUUCUGCCAGAGUUGCUUCUUUACAUACCUUGAAGCUUACUCUGCAUGAAACCAUCUUCACCAAGGUAUGUGCUUCAGAAGGUGUUCAAAACCAAAUUGUUAAAUAUUUUGAAGAUAUUUCAAGUGUAGCGGACUUUUGCGAUAGGUAUGUGCUUUUCUUAUGGAUGCACAAUUCUUUGGUGAAGUAUUAUGGAUUUAUCACCCUCUUUGGAUUUGAAUCAAUGUUUCAGAGUAACCACAUCUCUGUUUCGUGAAGAAAACACUGGUCACUUGAAAUUCUGCAGGCCUAUUUUCUUCUGCAUCAACCGAUUUCAAAUCCUAAUAUGGUGUAUCUCAAACCUCCAUACAUGGGUUCUGCGCAAUCACUUAAAAAUACAAAACAUACAUACAAAAUAAAUACAUACAUGCAUUCAUAUGUGUACUUUCAUACUGUAUACAUGCAUAAUUGCUUGGAUAAUCAUUGUUUAUUUGCUUUCUUGAUUUUUUGUUUGAUUCUUCUGCUAACUUACUUGCUUCUUUGUUCACCCUUUCAUUCAUACUUCUUCCCUUGCUUGUUUUCUUGAUGUCCUCUUGUCCAAAGAAGAGGUAACCUUCUGACAAUGAAACACCGUAGCCUCUUGCGUGCAGACUCUGAGUAAUGUUGAUCAUCAUACUCAAGUUUUGGCAACCACAUCCAGAGAUGCUCCCAUCGUUUUGAUAAAAUGCUAGUGGACACAGCUUCUUUUGUUGGAAGAAAUGUCAACACCUUCACUAGCAGUUUAUCAGGCAACCUACUAAUCUUGUCCAUAUCUCUCAGAGAGCAACAGAAAAAGGGAGAAACUCAACAAAACGCUGGAAAUGCUUGAAUUAGCAAAAGGUGUGAGAUGAGUCUUUUCAAUUAUGCUUUCAUCACAUAUAUACAUACAGCUACAUAACUGUAAAGAAUCUAAAUGAUGACUCUUCAAGAGAUUACUAACGUCGUUCAAUAGUUAUCAACUUAAUAUUUUGGUCAAAUUGUUUGUAUUUUCAGUUUGAUUGAAUUCUUAUAAUGGUCUUCCUUACCUUUUGUAACAUCAAAUGAAUGUAGAACUAGGUUCAUCCACUCAAGAUUUACUAGACAUUAAGUUAACUUGGUCAUUUUUGUAGCUAACCGUUGUAUUCAGAUAUUUUAGGACGCGAGAAUCCAGAUUGAAAAUUACUAAACAAAGUGUGAUGAUAACGAGAACCCAGAAUCUAUUUAUCUCCCUAUGUAUCCUCUCCACUCCAGAGUUUCAAGACUUGAAAUCAUACAUUCUGGAACACAACUCGGCUGGUCCCAACGACCCAGUGGACGGGUCCACGAGUAAGAAUGUUUCUAAGGCCAGAGUGAAGAAGAAGAAAACAUGAUAUCAAUCGAAUCAGUGAGAACCAAAACUAAAAGAACAUAUAAUUAGACCAAAGUGGGGGGGGGGGGCAUCUGCAUUACAUCGAAAAGCUUGAGAACUCGUAGGUUAUGGGAACAUUCGAGCAUGUAUUCAAGUAACUUCAACCACCCACUUGUAGAUGUGCAUAACUCCAAGUUUACAAGUUGACAGAAGUCACAGAACAUACUAGGAUCCAUAUCCUUAAAGGAGAGAAAAGCUUUAAUUAAGGUUCUGAUGGUUUAAACAAACGAUAAAUUGAACCAUUUGAGUGAUGUAUUACAUCUGAUCUCAGUGUAUAUAACCAUUUGAGUGAUGUAUUACAUCUGAUCUCAGUGAAUAUAAUGAAAGACGCUUGACCGGGCUGGUUAGAUACCUGAGGAAAACUUUGGUAGAUACUUCAUUAGCGCAUUUAUAUUUGCCUCCACCACUUGAGGCAAGUCCUUAAUGAUAAAUCGUUACCCUGAUCAUCAAAUAUUAAGUACUUCAAAGAAGGAGCAUUAAUCAUAGCCUUUGGAAUUAGACUUCUCGUGUGGAAAAUAUCUUAAGCCAUUGUCCUUUUGAGUUACUGUUUUAAUGAACAAUCUCUCCAAUGAAAGUACCACCGCAAUAUCAAAGAUUUGACAUAGCAUUGCUUGUUCUUUGUCUCACCAUUGGAUCAACAAGAAAAAGGACGGUUCGAUAAAAGCCUAAAAGUGUUCAUAAUUUGACUUCCUCAGGAAGGACAAUGUGAAGAGUCUAAGUGAAGGGAGAAAGGCAGUCAAAGGAAUGUUCAUAUCGAUCCAACCUUUGAGUUUCAAGAUCACAACCUUUAAUAACAAUUUUACCAAAUAAAAAUCUUAACUCUUGGUGUGUUGUUGCCAUUUAGCAAGAAUGAAAACAGAAAGCAAUUAAUGCUGAUACUUGUAACCCAAGAAAGCGUCUUCUUCAGAACGAGCAGUUUUUUUCACUGGUCAAAUACAGAAAAAAAUAGCUUAUAAGUCAUCCAUUUAGAAUAAGUAUAGACGAGAAAAA